rnacentral:pre_miRNA from 1 species
AAUAAGUGCAGUUUUACACUGUUUAUGUCCAACGAUCGCCUUUUUUAUUAUUAGUAUUUUUAUUGUUAUUCGAUAAUAAAACAUGAAUAGUAUUUUAUAUGUGACUAAUAUUUUAAUUUUUUUUCAUAAAUUUUUUAAAUAAAACAAAAGGUCGAACGUUAAACACGGAUACCCACGACUACACUUAUU